UACAGAGGUCCCAAGCGUUGUUCGGAUUCACUGGGCGUAAAGGGUGCGUAGGUGGCGGGGUAAGUCUGAUGUGAAAUCUCCGAGCUUAACUCGGAAACUGCAUCGGAUACUGCUUUGCUCGAGGGUUGGAGGGGGGACUGGAAUACUUGGUGUAGCAGUGAAAUGCGUAGAUAUCAAGUGGAACACCAGUGGCGAAGGCGAGUCC
rnacentral:rRNA from 1 species